CGGCGAGCCGCUGCCUGCACGCCCGCCGGGGCCCGCCGCGGAACUCGGGCUUUGAGGCGCUUUUAUGGUUUAUUUUCUGCUUCUGUAAAUAAAAUCCCCAACAGACACCGUCCAGCAGACGGGCGUGGCCAGGGCGUACGCGUCCCGGUUUUCGUUUCCAGGCAGCGCCUCGGGAUUCACGAUGUGAAUCAUGCUGCUGUUUGACAUGGAAUGGCCGUGGAUGAGUAAAAUGAGGGAGAAAAUGAUCUUUGCUAACCCUUUUCCAUUCUGCCUUGGUGGUGCUUGUCUGCAUGCUUCCCUCUGCUAGCUCAGGUGGAUCCAACGUUUGCUGGAUACUCCGAGUGCAGCAGACAGCUGAGAUGUGCAUUGUUGGAAUCCAGAGGGUUUUGUAAUUUGGCAACCGCUCGCUGAAAGCCCUGCAGAUACAAAACAACACUUAUUUCAAGUCUUGAGAAACAUCUCCUACUAAGUAGAAGAAAAAAGCAUUUAGGUGAAGCAAUGUUGCCAGUCCCAUUUGUUUGUGAGGCUUGGUUUUUGUCUUUAUACAUUUUAAAUGCUUUUUAUUUUCCUUCUGCUCUUUAAGCCUUUCAAGUUCAUGUUUGCCAUAUGACAAGAAAGUCUGGAAUCAAGUCCUUACUUUAAAAAGCAAAAAUUUGGUUCAGAGUCCUGUGUAAUCAUGUAGCUCCAGACAUGGGGUGUUUAAAAAGAAAGCCACUUUGGUGAGAACUACCUAUCUUGAAGGUGACUUUCUGUUCUGAGUUUAAGUAAAUACUUUGUUGACAGUUUAGGAGGCUUUUAACAGCACCUGAUCUCUGUUUGCUUUCCACUUGGAUCUCUUUUUUCUUCUUUUCUAAAAUUCUAGAGCUUGUUUAUGUGCUGGUGAGAUCAGAAAUGUAGU
rnacentral:lncRNA from 1 species